AGGACGAACGCUGGCGGCGUGCUUAACACAUGCAAGUCGAGCGGAAAGGCCCUUCGGGGUACUCGAGCGGCGAACGGGCGAGUAACACGUGAGUAAUCUGCCCCUAGCUCUGGGAUAGCUCCGGGAAACCGGGAUUAAUACCAGAUACGACCACUUUAGACAUCCGCUGUGGUGGAAAGAAUUUCGGCUAGGGAUGAGCUCGCGGCCUAUCAGCUUGUUGGUGAGGUAACGGCUCACCAAGGCGACGACGGGUAGCC
rnacentral:rRNA from 1 species